GGUUGCGGGCGGGGAAAAUUAGGGCGGGAAAAGUUAGGGGGGAAAACCCUCCCCCUGCCGCCUAACUUUUCCCGCCCUAAUUUUCCCCGCCCGCAACAUCCCCUAAAAA